rnacentral:rRNA from 1 species
ACAACCGAGGUGCAAAGGCUGUCGCUGACCCUCAAAGGUUGUGCACGCCCGAGCGCUCUCACACAAUCCAUCUCACCUUUGUGCAUCACCGCGUGGGUCCCCUUUGCGGGAGGGCUCGCGUUUUCACAUAAUAACUCGAUACAGUGUAGAAUGUUUCUUUUGCGGUCACACGCAAUCAAUACAACUUUCAACAACGGAUCUCUUGGCUCUCGCAUCGAUGAAGAACGCAGCGAAAUGCGAUACGUAAUGUGAAUUGCAGAAUUCAGUGAAUCAUCGAAUCUUUGAACGCACCUUGCGCCCCUCGGCAUUCCGAGGGGCACACCCGUUUGAGUGUCGUGAAUUCUUCAAAACCCUUUUUUCUUCGAACCAUCGUGGUCGGGAAAAGGAUUUUUGGACUUGGAGGUUUAAUGCUCGCCCUUUCUUUUGAAAGCGAGCUCCUCUCAAAUGAAUUAGUGGGGUCCGCUUUGCUGAUCCUUGACGUGAUAAAAUGUUUCUACGUUUUGGGUUUAGCACUGUCGCUUGGNUGCCUGCUCCUAACCCGUCUCAUUGACAAUGAUGGUGCUCUGGUCACUGCCGUCUACAUCGGCGGGAGGCUGGACCCACAAAAAGAAAACCUUGA